rnacentral:rRNA from 1 species
CCUACGGGAGGCAGCAGUGAGGAAUAUUGGUCAAUGGGCGCGAGCCUGAACCAGCCAAGUCGCGUGAGGGAGGACGGCCCUACGGGUUGUAAACCUCUUUUGCCGGGGAGCAACGGGCGCCACGUGUGGCGUCACUGAGAGUACCCGGAGAAAAAGCAUCGGCUAACUCCGUGCCAGCAGCCGCGGUAAUACGGGGGUUGCGAGCGUUAUCCGGAUUUAUUGGGUUUAAAGGGUGCGUGGGCGGCGCGUUAAGUCAGUGGUAAAAUUGAGGGGCUCAACCCCUUCCCGCCAUUGAAACUGGCGUUCUUGAGUGGAAGAGAAGUAUGCGGAAUGCGUGGUGUAGCGGUGAAAUGCAUAGAUAUCACGCAGAACCCCGAUUGCGAAGGCAGCAUGCCGGCUUCCGACUGACGCUGAAGCACGAAAGCGUGGGGAUCGAACAGGAUUAGAUACCCGAGUAGUC